CACAGCCGCCGCUCACGGCCGAAAUCAUGCGGCCUUAUGGUCUUUCGGGCGUCUGCUAAUGCAACAGGACCUACGCUGUGUGCAAAACCUCCUGCACCAUCAGUAACACCGGCACCAAUGGAACCGCUGAGCAAUCUCCUCCGCAAAGCCGUCAGAAGUCAUAGGGGGUUAUAGAUAUCGCUCACUUUUUUCCACGGAUUUCAUUCAGGACAAUGGAAUUGCACAGUUCAUUGGUCAUUCAGUGUGGCCUGACUAUAUAUAUAUUUUGUGUAGAAAUAGUAAAACAACUUAACUAGAGUGAAAGCAGAGUUUGGAGGACAGGAAAGCAGUGAAAAAACUUUUUCCUUUUUUCUUUUUUUUUUUUCCCCCUGAACUUAUACACAGCAUUAGAGAUGUGAAAUUCAAGUAAGCUUUGCAGCACAUAAUGUCAACAUCCUUCUACAACACCGGACAACUCAGCACGUGUCCUCUGGUGCUCCCUGCCCGGCAGCUGUCCCAGCUGGCAGUCUGCUCUUGUUCCCUUAGCAAUAGUAUUAGUAAAUUUAAGAACUUCAAACCUGGUACAAAUGGCAAAGCUGUCUGCGGUUUAGUAGCUACAGAGGUGAUCAUAAGAGCUGCUGGGAAAGGAUGAAAGAGCUAUAAAUCCUUGCUUUAAUAUACAUCACCCAAGAAACUUGCAGAAAGGACUGUGAAAAUGUGAAGUCAAUAGAGCCUCUUCCCAGGUUGUUUUUAACAAGAAUUUUACAAUGUCAGAGACUUUGUAAUGUUACACAUUAUCCUUCAGUUGUCAUUUGCAUUUAUCUGCUAAAACAUAAUGUUGCAUAUUAGAAGCUUUACCACACUGCUCCAAAACUUGAUAUUUAUAAAGCUUAAUAAUGUUGCUGGUCAAAACAGUAACUAUUUCAAUGUUCAGACACAGCUACAGGUUUUUCAUGUUUUUCUGUGAUUUAAUUCCUGCUCCUACUGUCUUUAACAAGUCUCUUGGCAGUUUUCCCAGCUGUUCUAGCACUCUUCUGGAAAAAAACUCCAACAGUUUAGAAAGAAAUAUUGAUAGUUUUUUCCAUUAAAUGUGUGAAACAAGAAAAUUUGGUAAUGAAGUACAAGAAAACAAGUCUAUCCUGGGAACUGAUUAAGGCUAAAACUUAAAGACUUGCACAUGAAUAAUGAUAGACCUAACAGGAAUGAGAACCUCCAAGAUUUGAGUUUCUUCCCCACUAGAUACACACACAAGUUAUACAUACAUAAUCCUGAAAACAUUUUUAAUAAAAUUUACCACAUAUGGUGUUUGUUUUGUUCUUCCUUAAAAGCAAGAAUGAACUCUAAUAAACAAAUGUAACAAGGC